rnacentral:rRNA from 1 species
UGGGGAAUUUUGCACAAUGGCGGAAACCCUGAUGCAGCGACGCCGCGUGAUUUAGAAGGCCUUCGGGUUGUAAAAAUCUUUUCUAUGGGAAGAAAAUGACAGUACCAUAGGAAUAAGGACCGGCUAAUUACGUGCCAGCAGCCGCGGUAAUACGUAAGGUCCGAGCGUUGUCCGGAAUCAUUGGGCGUAAAGGGUACGUAGGCGGGUAAGCAAGUUAGAAGUGAAAUCCUAUAGCUCAACUAUAGUAAGCUUUUAAAACUGCUCAUCUUGAGGUAUGGAAGGGAAAGUGGAAUUCCUAGUGUAGCGGUGAAAUGCGCAGAUAUUAGGAGGAAUACCGGUUGCGAAGGCGACUUUCUGGCCAUAACCUGACGCUGAGGUACGAAAGCGUGGGUAGCAAACAGG